rnacentral:tRNA from 1 species
GGUGAGUUGGCAGAGUGGUCGAAUGCGCUACCUUGGAAAGGUAGUUAUGUGCAAACAUACAUGGGUUCGAAUCCCAUACUCACCU